AGAAGGGCACCUAAAAAGGAAAAGGAAGGCCGAAAGGCAUGGGAAGCCCUAUCUCCUCUCUUCUUUUUGCUUAUAAAAAAACAUAAAAUUAUAGAGAGAGAAAGCAGCCAGUGGGUGAAGCAGAAACGAUUGUAGAAUUUGCGGGAGAUAGCUUGACGUAAAAGUUUAUAAAAGCUUACAGAAGUAGAGCCACGAGAAGUUCUAGAAGAAGCAGAAACGCGGUGAACUGGGUGGAAGGCAUAACAAGAAGAACAAAGCGAAGAGCAAGCCAAAACGAACUGGGGAGAAAGUAGAAGCAGACUUGGAGCCUAGAAGAAGGGACAGAAGCUAAGAAAAAAAUAAAGAAUUAAUCAAGUAAUAUAUUUAUUUAAUUUGAGAUAGAAAUUUUUAGGGAUUUUUUUAUUGAUGAAACCUGAAUGCUAGUGUUUGAACUUUUUUAUAAAUUUAUUCUUGAUUAUUACAUGAUUAAAUUUUUUUCAGUUAUGAUUGUUGCUGUUUAAUUCGCCAUAUUUGGAACGUAAUCUGAAUUAAAG
rnacentral:lncRNA from 1 species